rnacentral:rRNA from 1 species
AACCUGGUUAGGUGGUCUGCCUUACGGUACGUACUGCUCGGCCGGGUUCUACCUCUUGGUGAGCCGGCAUGUCCUUCACUGGGUGUGUCGGGGAACCAGGACUUUUACCUUGAGAAAAUUAGAGUGCUCCAAGCAGGCCUGUGCUUGAAUAUGUUAGCAUGGAAUAAUAAAAUAGGACUU